AUUGAACGCUGGCGGCAGGCCUAACACAUGCAAGUCGAGCGAGCGGCGGACGGGCGUGUAAUGUCUGGGGAUCUGCCCGAUAGGGGGGGAUAACUUCUGGAAACGGUGGCUAAUACCGCAUAGCAUCGGUUUAACCCAUACGGGAUUAGCUUGUAGGUGUGGUAAAGGCACACAUAGACGACGACCUCUAGCUGGUCUGCGAGGAGGCUCGGCCACACUGGGACGGAGACACGGCCCAGACUCCUACGGGAGUCAGCAGUGGGGAAUAUUGCACAAUGGGCGCAAGCCGGAUGCAGCCAUGCCGCGUGUAUGAAGAAGGCCUUAGGGUUGUAAAGUACUUUCAGCGGGGAGGCGUUACCCGCAGAAGAAGCACCGGCUAACUACGUGCCAGCAGCCGCGGUAAUUC
rnacentral:rRNA from 1 species